CUUCGGGUAUUGAGGAUGGCGGACGGGUGAGUAACGCGUAAGGAACUUGCCUCUUGGUCUGGGACAACUGUUGGAAACGACAGCUAAUACCGGAUAUUAUGAGAUUCUCGCAUGGGAAACUUAUGAAAGCUAUAUGCGCCAAGAGAGAGCCUUGCGUUCCAUUAGCUAGUUGGUGGGGUAACGGCCCACCAAGGCGACGAUGGAUAGCCGGCCUGAGAGGGUGAACGGCCACAAGGGGACUGAGACACGGCCCUUACUCCUACGGGAGGCAGCAGUGGGGAAUAUUGGACAAUGGGCCACAAGUCUGAUCCAGCAAUUCUGUGUGCACGAUGAAGGUCUUCGGAUUGUAAAGUGCUUUCAGUUGGGAAGAAGAAAGUGACGGUACCAACAGAAGAAGCGACGGCUAAAUACGUGCCAGCAGCCGCGGUAAUACGUAUGUCGCAAGCGUUAUCCGGAUUUAUUGGGCGUAAAGCGCGUCUAGGCGGAAAAAUAAGUCUGAUGUUAAAAUGCGGGGCUCAACUCCGUAUUGCGUUGGAAACUGUUUUUCUAGAGUACUGGAGAGGUGGGCGGAACUACAAGUGUAGAGGUGAAAUUCGUAGAUAUUUGUAGGAAUGCCGAUGGAGAAGUCAGCUCACUGGACAGAUACUGACGCUAAAGCGCGAAAGCGUGGGGAGCAAACAGGAUUAGAUACCC
rnacentral:rRNA from 1 species